AAUUAGUUUAUUAAUUAAUUUUAAUUAGUAAUUAAUUAUUUUAAUUGGUCAAUUAAUUUAAAUAUUAAUUGAUUAAUUAUUUUAAUUAAUUAUUAAUUGAUUUUAAUUGAUUAAUUAAUUGGAUUUAAUUAUCCUUUUUGAUUUAAAAAUUCCGAAAAAUAGUUUCGAGCUUUAAAAUAUUUUUCCAAAUUAUAUUCAAGGCUCGAUAAUUGGUUAUGAAUGAUUUCAAGUCCAAUUUCAAGUAUUUGGGACUUGAUUAUUUAUCCGAAAAGUGAUUCUUUUAUCGAUUUUAAUUCCGAAAAAUGUUUAAAAAUUACAGAAAAUUCCCGAAAAAUCAUUUUGAACUCAAGAUUUGAUUUGACCUCUAUUGGGGUGGGAAACCUUAUGUGUAAUGUGUUGUCUGCUAUUGGUUGGAUGUCUUAUGUGUCGAUAUAAGAGUGAGAAAACGGUUUUAAACAUAUCUUUUGAUCCGUAAGUCGGAAUCAAGUGAAACGAAAGAGAGAUGAAAGCUUAUAAAGUCUAGUUUGGUAUGACAUAAUAAUAUGAUGGAGUCGAGAAUGUGAAUAAUUGUUGUUAAACGUGCCGAAUGUGAUUAUAUGUUAUUGGAUUGUUAUUAAUUGAUGACUACGUGAUAUAUAUGUCUAUUCUUGAUAUUAUAUACGUGAUAAAUGAUUUGGAUGACAUAGUGUCGUGAGUUGAUUGAUAUUGGAUAAGAAUAUAUGGAUUAUAGUGAUUGGAUCUUGUUGAUUGGUUGUUGAUUGAGAUAGGAUAACAGGUGGAUAGUCUUAUACAUAGAGGAAACGAUGUCGGAAUUUCGAUAAGGAUUGAUAUGAUAAUUGAUUGGUGAUAUGUUAUGUGGAAUAUGAUUGAUUAUAUGUUAGAGUCAAAGCAUGCUUAUGUGUUACGUGGUAUCUGAUAAGUUUAAAGGGGUAUAUAAGUGGGUAUCGGUAU
rnacentral:lncRNA from 1 species